rnacentral:rRNA from 1 species
GAAAGAUUCAUCGGAAGAGGAUGGGCAUGCGGCGCAUUAGCUAGACGGCGGGGUAACGGCCCACCGUGGCGACGAUGCGUAGGGGUUCUGAGAGGAAGGUCCCCCACACUGGUACUGAGACACGGACCAGACUCCUACGGGAGGCAGCAGUGAGGAGUAUUGGUCAAUGGGAGAGAUCCUGAACCAGCCAAGCCGCGUGAGGGAAGACGGCCCUAUGGGUUGUAAACCUCUUUUGUCGGAGAACAAAACCCGGGACGUGUCCCGGACUGCGUGUAUCCGAAGAAAAAGCAUCGGCUAACUCCGUGCCAGCAGCCGCGGUAAUACGGAGGAUGCGAGCGUUAUCCGGAUUUAUUGGGUUUAAAGGGUGCGUAGGCGGUCCGUUAAGUCAGCGGUAAAAUUGCGGGGCUCAACCCCGUCGAGCCGUUGAAACUGGCAGACUUGAGUUGGCGAGAAGUACGCGGAAUGCGCGGUGUAGCGGUGAAAUGCAUAGAUAUCGCGCAGAACUCCGAUUGCGAAGGCAGCGUACCGGCGCCAGACUGACGCUGAGGCACGAAAGCGUGGGGAUCGAACAGGAUUAGAUACCCUGGUAGUCCACGCAGUAAACGAUGAAUGCUGGUUGUCCGGGUCGAAUGAGAUCUGG